UACAGAGAGUGCAAACGUUAUUCGGAAUUAUUGGGCUUAAAGGGUGCGUAGGCGGUGCGGUAAGUGGGGUGUGAAAUCCCUCGGCUCAACCGAGGAAUUGCGCUUCAUACUGCCGUGCUGGAGGGAGACAGGGGUAAGCGGAACUGAUGGUGGAGCGGUGAAAUGCGUUGAUAUCAUCAGGAACACCGGUGGCGAAAGCGGCUUACUGGGUCUUCUCUGACGCUGAGGCACGAAAGCUAGGGUAGCGAACGGG
rnacentral:rRNA from 1 species